GUCAUUAGGUCGCUGAUUGCUUCCUUUGCCUGAGGUAAGAACAAGAGAAUAUGGACAAGUGAAGAGGAUAAUGCCUUGGUAGAAGCAUUACAGGAGGUGGCUACACAUCCAAAAUGGAAGAAGGAAAAUGGAUGGAAGAAUGGCUAUCUACUUCGAGUUGAAGAGCUGAUUAAUACAAAAUUACCUAAUAGUGGUUUGAAGGCUAGUCCUCAUAUUAAUUCUAGGUGAAAAACCUUGAAAGCAAAAUAUAAUGCAAUAGCAGAUAUGUUGAACAACUCUUGAUUUGGUUGGGAUGAAACAAGGAAAAUGAUACAACACGAGAAUAAUGUUUAUGAUGAAUGGUGCAAGGUAUGAUUAAUACAUUAUGAAAGAAUUUUUUAAUUUUUUUUUCUAAAUGUGGUAUAUGUGAAAUUUAAUCAUAUAUACUUUUGUAUUUGUUUUUUCAUGUUAAUAGAG
rnacentral:misc_RNA from 1 species